rnacentral:rRNA from 1 species
GACGAACGCUGGCGGCGUGCUUAACACAUGCAAGUCGAACGGAAAGGCCCUGCUUUUGUGGGGUGCUCGAGUGGCGAACGGGUGAGUAACACGUGAGUAACCUGCCCUUGACUUUGGGAUAACUUCAGGAAACUGGGGCUAAUACCGGAUAGGAGCUCCUGCUGCAUGGUGGGGGUUGGAAAGUUUCGGCGGUUGGGGAUGGACUCGCGGCUUAUCAGCUUGUUGGUGGGGUAGUGGCUUACCAAGGCUUUGACGGGUAGCCGGCCUGAGAGGGUGACCGGCCACAUUGGGACUGAGAUACGGCCCAGACGCCUACGGGAGGCAGCAGUGGGGAAUAUUGCACAAUGGGCGGAAGCCGGAGGCAGCAACGCCGCGUGCGGGAUGACGGCCUUCGGGUUGUAAACCGCUUUCGCCUGUGACGAAGCGUGAGUGACGGUAAUGGGUAAAGAAGCACCGGCUAACUACGUG